rnacentral:rRNA from 1 species
UACGAACUGUGCAAACGUUAUUCGGAAUCACUGGGCUUAAAGGGUGCGUAGGCGGCUAUCUAAGCAGGGUGUGAAAGCCCCCGGCUCAACCGGGGAAUAGCGUUCUGAACUGGAUGGCUGGAGUGAGAUAGGGGUGUGUGGAACUUCCGGUGGAGCGGUGAAAUGUGUUGAUAUCGGAAGGAACGCCGGUGGCGAAAGCGACACACUGGGUCUCAACUGACGCUGAGGCACGAAAGCCAGGGGAGCGAACGGG